rnacentral:rRNA from 1 species
CGGUAGCAGAACUAGCUUGCUAGUUGCUGACGAGUGGCGGACGGGUGAGUAAUACUUAGGGAUCUGCCUUUGCGAGGGGGAUAACCAUUGGAAACGAUGGCUAAUACCGCAUGAUGUCUACGGACCAAAGUGGGCUUCGGCUCGCGCGCAAAGAGGAACCUAAGUGAGAUUAGCUUGUUGGUGAGGUAAAGGCUCACCAAGGCGACGAUCUCUAGCUGUUCUGAGAGGAAGAUCAGCCACACUGGGACUGAGACACGGCCCAGACUCCUACGGGAGGCAGCAGUGGGGAAUAUUGCACAAUGGGGGCAACCCUGAUGCAGCCAUGCCGCGUGUGUGAAGAAGGCCUUCGGGUUGUAAAGCACUUUCAGUGGGGAGGAAAGGUUAACGGUUAAUACCCGUUAGCUGUGACGUUACCCACAGAAGAAGGACCGGCUAACUCCGUGCCAGCAGCCGCGGUAAUACGGAGGGUCCGAGCGUUAAUCGGAAUUACUGGGCGUAAAGCGCACGCAGGCGGUUUGUCAAGCUAGAUGUGAAAGCCCCGGGCUCAACCUGGGAAUAGCAUUUAGAACUGGCAGACUAGAGUCUUGGAGAGGGGAGUGGAAUUCCAGGUGUA